GUGGAUUAGAUACCCUGGUAGUCCUAGCCGUAAACGAUGGGCACUGGGUGUGGGGGGUCAUCAACUCCCUCCGUGCCGCAGCUAACGCAUUAAGUGCCCCGCCUGGGGAGUACGGCCGCAAGGUUAAAACUCAAAGGAAUUGACGGGGGCCCGCACAAGCAGCGGAGCAUGUGGCUUAAUUCGACGCAACGCGAAGAACCUUACCAAGGCUUGACAUGCAGGGAAAUCUGGCGGAAACGUCAGGUGCGAAAGCGUCCUGCACAGGUGGUGCACGGCUGUCGACAACU
rnacentral:rRNA from 1 species